rnacentral:rRNA from 1 species
CAAUAGCGUAUAUUAAAGUUGUUGCGGUUAAAAGCUCGUAGUUGGAUUUCUGCCGAGGACGACCGGUCCGCCCUCUGGGUGAGUAUCUGGCUUGGCCUGGGCAUCUUCUUGGAGAACGUAGCUGCACUUGACUGUGUGGUGCGGUAUCCAGGACUUUACUUGAGGAAAUUAGAGUGUUUCAAGCAGGCAUGCGCCUUGAAUACAUUAGCAUGGAAUAAUAAGAUAGGACCUCGGUUCUAUUUUGUUGGUUUCGAACACCGGAGUAAUGAUUAAAAGGGGCAGUCAGGGGCACUCGUAUUCCGUCGAGAGAGGUGAAAUUCUCAGACCAAUGGAAGACGAACCACUGCGAAAGCAUUUGCCAGGGAUGUUUUUCACUGAUCAAGAACGAAAGUUAGGGGAUCGAAGACGAUUAGAU